rnacentral:rRNA from 1 species
GAUGAACGCUAGCGGGAGGCUUAACACAUGCAAGUCGGAGGGGUAAAGUGGUAGCAAUACUAUGAGACCGGCGAACGGGUGCGUAACGCGUAUGCAACUUACCUUAUGCAGGGGGAUAGCCCGUGGAAACGCGGAUUAAUAUCCCAUAGAUCAGUAAUAUCGCAUGGUAUAACUGGUAAAACUCAGGUGGCAUAAGAUGGGCAUGCGUCUGAUUAGCUAGUUGGUAGGGUAACGGCCUACCAAGGCGACGAUCAGUAGGGGUUCUGAGAGGAUUAACCCCCACACUGGUACUGAGACACGGACCAGACUCCUACGGGAGGCAGCAGUGAGGAAUAUUGGUCAAUGGGCGCAAGCCUGAACCAGCCAUCCCGCGUGAAGGAAGAAGGCCCUACGGGUUGUAAACUUCUUUUCUGUUUGAAGAAUAAGCUCGUCGAGACGAGUGAUGCCGGUAGGACAGGAAUAAGCAUCGGCUAACUCCGUG